GGCAGGAUGGCCGAGUGGUCUAAGGCGCUGCGUUCAGGUCGCAGUCUCCCCUGGAGGCGCGGGUUCAAAUCCCGCUCCUGUCA
rfam:Ciona savignyi cont_23309, whole genome shotgun sequence.